UACGAAGGGGGCUAGCGUUGCUCGGAUUGACUGGGCGUAAAGGGUGCGUAGGCGGGUCUUUAAGUCAGGGGUGAAAUCCUGGAGCUCAACUCCAGAACUGCCUUUGAUACUGAGGAUCUUGAGUUCGGGAGAGGUGAGUGGAACUGCGAGUGUAGAGGUGAAAUUCGUAGAUAUUCGCAGGAACACCAGUGGCGAAGGCGGCUUACUGGUCCAUUACUGACGCUGAGGUGCGAAAGCGUGGGGAGCAAACAGG
rnacentral:rRNA from 1 species